AUUGAACGCUGGCGGCAUGCUUUACACAUGCAAGUCGAACGGCAGCAUGACCAAGCUUGCUUGGUUGAUGGCGAGUGGCGAACGGGUGAGUAAUACAUCGGAACGUGCCCUGUAGUGGGGGAUAACCUACCGAAAGGUAGGCUAAUACCGCAUACGACCUGAGGGUAAAAGGGGGGGACCGCAAGGCCUCACGCAAUAGAAGCGGCCGAUGGAAGAUUAGCUAGUCGGUGAGGGAAGGGCUCACCAAGGCGACGAUCUUUAGCGGGUCUGAGAGGACGAUCCGCCACACUGGGACUGAGACACGGCCCAGACUCCUACGGGAGGCAGCAGUGGGGAAUUUUGGACAAUGGGGGCAACCCUGAUCCAGCAAUGCCGCGUGAGUGAAGAAGGCCUUCGGGUUGUAAAGCUCUUUUGUUUGGGAAGAAAAGUCUGGUGCUAAUACCACUGGAUGCUGACGGUACCAAAAGAAUAAGCACCGGCUAACUACGUGCCAGCCGCCGCCGUAA
rnacentral:rRNA from 1 species